UACAGAGGUCCCAAGCGUUGUUCGGAUUCAUUGGGCGUAAAGGGUGCGUAGGUGGCGUCGUAAGUCGGGUGUGAAAUCUCGGGGCUUAACUCCGAAACUGCAUUCGAUACUGCGGUGCUUGAGGACUGGAGAGGAGACUGGAAUUUACGGUGUAGCAGUGAAAUGCGUAGAGAUCGUAAGGAAGACCAGUGGCGAAGGCGGGUCUCUGGACAGUACCUGACACUGAGGCACGAAGGCCAGGGGAGCAAGCGGG
rnacentral:rRNA from 1 species